CCUACGGGUGGCUGCAGUGGGGAAUAUUGCACAAUGGGCGCAAGCCUGAUGCAGCCAUGCCGCGUGUGUGAAGAAGGCCUUCGGGUUGUAAAGCACUUUCAGCGGGGAGGAAGGCGGUGAGGUUAAUAACCUCAUCGAUUGACGUUACCCGCAGAAGAAGCACCGGCUAACUCCGUGCCAGCAGCCGCGGUAAUGCGGAGGGUGCAAGCGUUAAUCGGAAUUACUGGGCGUAAAGCGCACGCAGGCGGUCUGUCAAGUCGGAUGUGAAAUCCCCGGGCUCAACCUGGGAACUGCAUUCGAAACUGGCAGGCUAGAGUCUUGUAGAGGGGGGUAGAAUUCCAGGUGUAGCGGUGAAAUGCGUAGAGAUCUGGAGGAAUACCGGUGGCGAAGGCGGCCCCCUGGACAAAGACUGACGCUCAGGUGCGAAAGCGUGGGGAGCAAACAGGAUUAGAUACCCUUGUAGUC
rnacentral:rRNA from 1 species